rnacentral:rRNA from 1 species
AGUGAACGCUGGCGGUAGGCCUAACACAUGCAAGUCGAACGGCAGCACAGUAAGAGCUUGCUCUUACGGGUGGCGAGUGGCGGACGGGUGAGGAAUACAUCGGACUCUACUUUUUCGUGGGGCUUAACGUAGGGAAACUUACGCUAAUACCGCAUACGACCUACGGGUGAAAGCAGGGGAUCUUCGGACCUUGCGCGAUUGAAUGCGCCGAUGUCGGAUUGGCUGGUUGGCGGGGUAAAGGCCCACCAAGGCGACGAUCCGUAGCUGGUCUGGGUGGAUGAUCGGCCACACUGGAACUGGAACACGGUCCAGAGUCCUACGGUAGGCAGCAGUGGGGAAUAUUGGACAAUGGGCGCGAGCCUGAUCCAACCAUACCACGUGGGUGAAAAAGGCCUUCGGGUUGUAAAGCCCUUUUGUUGGGAAAGAAAAGCAGCAGGUUAAUACCCAGCUGUUCUGACGGUACCCAAAGAAUAAGCACCGGCUAACUUCGUG